rnacentral:rRNA from 1 species
AGGAACCUACGGGACGCAGCAGUGGGGAAUAUUGGGCAAUGGAGGAAACUCUGACCCAGCAAUGCCGCGUGAAUGAAGAAGGUCUUCGGAUUGUAAAGUUCUUUAGUCAGGGAAGAAGUCAAUGACGGUACCUGAAGAAUAAGCUCCGGCUAACUACGUGCCAGCAGCCGCGGUAAUACGUAGGGGGCAAGCGUUAUCCGGAUUUACUGGGUGUAAAGGGAGCGUAGACGGCGGUGCAAGCCAGAUGUGAAAGCCCGGGGCUCAACCCCGGGACUGCAUUUGGAACUGUGCUGCUAGAGUGUCGG